UUCUUAUCAAGAGAGACGGAGGGAUUUGGCCCUGUGAAGUCUCAGCAACCGCCCUGAUUCAGGACAAGGUGCUAAUUCCAAUAGGCGCAAGCCUAGAAGAUAAGAA
rnacentral:ncRNA from 1 species